rnacentral:misc_RNA from 1 species
GUUUUUCCUCACGGCCCACGGGAACGUUGGGGAGCAUACAGCCCUGUGCUGUAGCUACCCCUAACAAUACAAUAACAACAACUGGUCGACUUACAGGAAGAGGACAUCAGUCUUUAUCAUCCUCAACAUAAACGCCUCUCCCAACAUCUGUACUGGUGCAGUCAUCGGGAGGACAAACCCUUCAUGCAAACUGCACCUACUAUCAAGAAGAAGAAGAAGAAGGCAUCAGUCUACUGAGCACAGUUAUCUCAGUCCAUUCACAUUUUACAGUUAUCUCAGCUUUGACUUCAGCAUCACCAUCAUGAACUCUGACGAAGAACUUGCAAGACGGCUACAAGCUGAGUUUGACGAAGAAGCUAGAGCUGCAGAAGAACAGGUGCGUCAUGAUGCAUCAUUUGCCCAAGAUGUGGCCUCUCAGUCCCAUGAUGUGUCAGAGAGUGAUGAAGAAAUUGAAGAAAUCAGCCAAGGAGCAAGGCACCAUGUGAUGCCACAUGUUAGUACAAGGAAGUUACAAGUGCUGGAUGUGGACACUGAAGAUGGAAACAAAGCAGUUUUACCUAAGAUUAACAACUCGCCACACAAGAAAGUGUCAAGUCGGAAUGUCAAGGAACACAACUUGUCUGAUGAAGAUGAGCCAAGUACUUCACAAACCAGUAAAGAACAAAAUGUUUCUGUUGACUCCCAGAAACUUCCAAACAAUGAUAUUACCAAGUCACAAGAAGAGAAAGUGAAAAAAAGGCCACUUUGCAAGUUUGGUUCUGCCUGUUAUCGAAAGAACCCCUGGCAUCUGGAAGAAUUCUACCAUCCGCACUUGGAUUAUAAAGGUGGAGGAACUACAGGAAAUAGUAAUAGAGAAAACUCAAGAGAUGAAGGAUCUGAGCCACCAAAAAAGAAGCCCAAAGAUUCUGCACCAGAUGAGGCUACUAAAAAGAGCAUAAGCUCCAAGAUGUCCUUCCCGUCUCGUCUUGCUGCCAGUAAACCUUUUAAUCUGUUUCUCAACAAAAGCUUCAGCAUAAAGGAAACUCAUGAAGAUCCAUUGACUCUAGUUUUUCCAGAUCUUCUCAAUUCUCAAUUGGGAGAGGUUGUGGAGUCUGUCCAGCUGAACUUCAUGGUUGACCUUGACUUUCUCAUGAGCAACUAUAAGGCUGGUGGAGUAGACAGAAAGCCUCUGCUUGUAAUGUACGGGGAAAUGGAAGGUGACCCCAAAGAUUAUUCUUCCCUGACAUGUGUUAAGGUCAAUCUUCCAUUUCUUUAUGGGACUCACCACACUAAGAUGAUGAUAUUCCAGUAUCAAGAUGGCCUUCGGGUUGUUGUACACACUGCAAACCUUGUCCCAGAUGACUGGUAUGAAAAGACCCAGGGAUUCUGGGUGUCUCCUGUGUUUCCAGUACUAGAAAAUGGGAAAUCUGGCCUUCUAGAUGGAGAGUCACCCACACGCUUCAAACGUGACCUAAUAGAGUACUUAUUGUCAUACAAAGCUCCUGACCUCACACGCUGGUCAAAUAUCAUUAAGAAAUAUGACUUUAGUAGCUGCAAUGUGGUGUUUGUGGGCAGCACUCCUGGGUAUCAUAUAGGAGAGUACAAAGACCGCUGGGGACACAUGAAGGUUCGCAGGAUAAUACGACAACAUGCAAGUACUUGGAAGUCAUCUUCACCAAUAAUUGUUCAGUGCUCCUCCAUAGGUAGCUUAGGAAAGGAUGCCAAAUCUUGGUUAAGUGGAGAACUUGGCAUUAGCUUCACUGGGGCAGCUGCAUUGUGUCCCAGUCCUCCACUGGUCAAUGUUGUGUAUCCGAGUGAAGAUGAUGUUCGUAACAGCAGCCAAGGAUGGAUGGGUGGCUCCUGCCUACCAUAUAAUUCAGCUACACAUGAGAAGCAGACUUGGUUACUACAGCAUUUUCAUGUCUGGCGAAGUGAAAAGAGAAAACGAACGCGGGUUAUGCCACACAUCAAGACCUAUACCCGGCUAAACAAGAGUUGCUCAUCAGCACAGUUUUUGCUUCUUACUUCAGCAAAUCUGUCGAAGGCAGCAUGGGGAAUGCUGCAGAAGCAAAAUACUCAGUUAUUUAUUCGAUCAUAUGAAGCAGGAGUCCUGAUUCUUCCCAAAUUUCUUAAUGAUGGCGAAGAAUUUAAUUUAUCAUUGCCAGGUACCCCAGACUGCCUCUCUCUGCCAUAUGACGUCCCACUGGCUCCAUAUCCAGAUGGAACAAUGCCUUGGUUAAUGAACACAAGCAAAAAACAGCCUGAUAUUUUUGGCCGUACAUACCCAUAAAAUGUUAAAAUCUUAUCAUUAUUAGUUAUCUCAGGUAAAUCUUUUAUUUUGGGGGAGGCUAGUCCCCUUAGUGGUUCUCUUAUCUUAUGUCACUCACAGUUAGGACAUUGUGAAUACACCUGACUAGGUGAUUAUCUCAACCCAUCAAGAACAAGUAUCUUUGCUGAUAAUUUUGCCCCCCCCCCUUCCCCUAUGGGACUGGUGAACACACAUGGAUCAAAAGAUAGAUCCAUUACUGAGGUGAACUUUUCACAAUAACACAGAGAUAUACAGAAAUACACUCGAUCUCCCACUCAGUUAUGUUUGGAAACACUGAAUUAUCAAACAAAAAUCUGGAUUACCUAAUCAUCUCGGAUAUCACUAGAUGAUGUCCACAAGAGAUGGCAGGAGCCCACUCAACUAGGGAAUUGGAGAAGAUAGCCACUUCUUUCUUGCUUGAUGCAUCACCAUAAUCUGAAUACCUAUGGAUCUUGGCUGAGACACUUUAGAUAAAGUAUUAAGAUAAAUUUCCUGGCCAUCUUUAGGGCUUAAAACAACUAUGCAUCGACAACCAAGUUUUAAAAUAAUUUUACAACAUGCUUGCCAGAUUUAAUUGUAUGUCUGUUUGCUACUGUUGUUCUUCAGCUUGGUUUCAAAAACCAUAUCUCUUGCAUUGUUAUAAGAUCAGUAACCACCAGUGAUAUCUUCUCUAUCACUGAGAAUAACAUAACUAAGGUGGUUAUGUUACCCCUUUGGGAAGACUUCUUGAGUCAAUGAGAAAAUCCACUUGGGUUAUGUGGUGGACGCGAACCUAUGACCCCAGCAGUGGUUUACCUCAGUUGUUGGUUGAUCUCUGGUCUUCACAUGGCUCCCCUCCUUGUUAAAGGGGCAAGAUAAACUGUUUCUUUUUUCCUAGUGAGCCGAUAUAGUUAAUAGGAGACAAGCUUAUUCACAAUGUCCUAACUGGGCUAGUAACAUAAGCAAGGAGAGCCACCAGUGUACUGAUCAGAAGGGAGAAUUUGGUACACUAGUGCCCUCUAUUUUUGUUGGAGGGAGUGUAGGUGAUUACAAUAGUUAUUUUAUUAUAUUUAUAUACCAACUUUUAUGUGCCUCACAUGUGUCAAUUCACUGAUGCAGUACACUUUAUACACUUGUCUUAAAGAUUUUCUGAUUGGUCAUAAAACAACCAGAUUUCUGUGGGGUCCCCAUUGGCUCCCUGAAGCUAUCCAAAUUGACAUGUGCCAUAUUAUUUUGGUGUCAUCGGUCCCUGGAGUUUUGUGCCUACCGGAGACUACAAGCCAGACGCUAGUCCCCUCAGAGAGGCGCAGGGAGCAAUGGCCAUGUGAGCACCCUACAUUUAGAUUUUGUCAUGUCUUUCAUAGACUAGGGAUACCGCCAAAAAGGUAGAAAAACCAUACAAAUCUCCAACUGGUUAAAAUUGCAACCUAUGUCUGAACAGAGCCAACACCCACCCCCCACCCCCAAAUGAAAAAAGCAAAUCGUCUUCCAACUAGCUUGCCUGCUCGUUAAUGCUCUUCCCCCCCCCUCCCCCAACAGGGGAAGCUCGCUCAGGCGAGCUGGCUCGACCCCUCGGUUCAUUGACUGCUGUGCCUGGUGUCAAGAUGUCUCCUCUAGCCUAGCUUUCCUGUCUGGAUGGAACAGCCCUUGUGGCUGUUCCAGCUGUGUGAGGGGUUUUGGCCAGGUGUUCUCAUUAUGCUAGGCUGCAUGUGCCUAGGAUUACCUUCCCUAGGUUCCCAGUAAGUACUUUCCUUGUGUUCUAGGGUUUUCUUCCCUGAGACGUUUGGGUCUCACUUCCAUUUGAGGGCUUCAUCGCUUGUUGUUGUUCUCGCCCUUGGGAUACAUCGGGAGUCUUUGGCUUCCUGUCUUGCCCCAGGUAGGGAGUGGAUUUUACUAGGUGGGAUGCACUGAGGCCUGCGCAGCUUGCAUACACGCGACUGGCUUGUGGCGGCCAAGCGUUCAUAGCGACGGCGGAUUCAGCUUCCUUCAGGCUCUCUGAUCCAGCUUCAUUCGAAUUACACCCCUGUGGUUCAUUGUCUCAAAUGUGGGGGGAGGUGUGCUCGUUAGCACACGAGCAUACCACCUUUCUGGUGGUAUCCCCAGUCGAUGGCAGACAUGACAAACUCUGAAUGUAGAUUGCUCAUAUGGCCAUUGCUCCCUGUGCCUUUCUGAGGGGACCAGAUUCUGGCUCAUAGUCUCCAGUAUGCACAGAACUCCAGGGACCGAUGACACCAAACUAAUAUGGCACAUGUCAGUUUGGAUAGCUUCAGGGAGCCUCCAGGGCUCGCCCAGAAAAUGGUGUUUCAUUACAUUCAACGACGGUUGUAUUGGAAUAUUUUAAAGCUAAUAGUUUGUUAUUUUAUGUAAAUAUGGCAUGGACUAAAGCAGUGUUCUUCAAACUCAGGGUCACAACCUGUUACUGGGUUGUCGUAGAUUAUUACGUGGGUCUUCCAUAAAGAUUAAAACUCAUAUUGGUGCAUAAAAUUUGUCAUUUAGCAUAAUAAUAAUAAUAAUGGUACAGUAAUAGUAAUAAUAAUGAUAUAGUAUUCAUAAAGAUGAUAAUACUAAUGAUUUAAUUUCAUAUUAAAAAACUAUUUUUUAUGCAGAUAAAUGAGUCACAAAACGUGGCUGUAGAUAUGAUGACCAGAUCCCUCAUCAGAUGGAGAAACGAUGGACAGACUGAAAUUUCGUUGUUAUCCAUCUUCUGUUGUGUGGUUUGGUCAUCAAACUAUGUUUUAUAAUGUUUUUUCUGAAAACUUGAGCUAUCAUUUAUUAACUUUGAAUCAUGAUCAAAAUUUUUUUUCUUAUACUGGAUUGUGUGAGAAAAAAUUUGAAGAACACUGGCAUAAAGGAUAUAAAGGGUUCCGAUGUAAUAUACUGUAUCAGUUUAAGUAUUUAUAUAUUUUGCAAAUAUUUAAACAAAAAUUA